GCAUUGGUGGUUCAGUGGUAGAACUCUCACCUCCCACGCAGGAGACUCAGGUUUGAUUCCUGGCCAAUGUA
rnacentral:tRNA from 1 species